ACUGUUUAUGAGUACUUACUUAUUAGAGCCCUUCUAGAGCUAUAUAGAUUUCAAGCAUAAAACCAAGUAUGAAGAAGAAACAAGCAGACAGCUCCAAGUUCAUUUUUCUUCUGACUGAAGUGUCCUGGCCAGUUCAGACGCCUCUUAGAAAAACAGACCUGCUCCAAGAUCCAUGACUGCCCAGCUGUUGGAAAGGUGCAGCCAGCACAGCCAAGUAGGCCCAUGCCAUGGUGGCCUGCUCUGCCUCAGGCAGCGCAGCUAUUGGCAGCACUUGCAGGACUGACAAGCUGUUGCAAAGGUCUGUCACCCAUCUAACACCAGUAGAGCAGUACUACCAGCAUCUCAGAUCCUGCUGUAAGCUCCUGAGAUGCCUGUGUUUGUGUGCCUGCUGCCAACAUUCAUGUUGCUACCUCCUGGGAAGAGGGAAGGGCAGAAGCAUUCCUUGCUGCAUCACUUGGAGCAACAUCAACCUCAUUAAUUAUUUUUCAAUGAGAGGAACAUCAAGAAGAAUGACGCCACCCAGCCUAAUUAAUUUAUUAAUCUUUGUAUUGAAUUGUUAAUCAUAUUCUUAAGUGCUUUUCAUUUCAGCUUGAAUGUUAUUUUUAAAAUACUCACAUUUUGCUGAUAUUUUACAGUACACUUCUUCAAGAUGACUGGUUACAGCAGAUCUAUUAAUAACUUCUUAAUGAAGUGAGAGUUUCUUAAUAUGUCUUAAUCUGAGCUGUGCUAAAAUUUCCGUGUGAGAGUAAUUAAUUUAGGAACUUCAGAUAUGGUUUUCAUUUAAAUAAGAUUAAGUGAGUGAUCUGAGUUUUGUGCAUCUGCACAGAUUUCUACUUUAAAAGGAGUUUUACAAUAUCAAAUAUAACAAUAGUAGGUUUCUUGCCUAUUGUUUAUUUACCUUGAAGAAACAGAAGCUGUCUGUUUAAAAGGAUAUAUUCUUAUUUUCUUUUUGUCAGGAACAUGUUCACAAUGUUCUCUCUUCCGUUUCUUUCCCCUGAACAAUGCUCUAGACAUUGCUGAUACGCAGCUAUGGCAUUCACAGGCAUAUUAAAGUUAUUUACAAAAUUGUUGGAGGCAGUUACAGUCUGGAGUACACGUCCCAGAAUAUAUUGCCUUUAGAAACACAAGUUACAAAGUCAUUUCCUCUAGUUUAAUCAGAGCCCUGAGAUGUUUCGAAUGGCAUUGUAUAAACAAAGCGAAAUAUUAAACAACAUCCUCCUUGUUUCCCUCAGUGAAUGAAUAACCCUGUGUUUCCCGAGGGAGAGAAGCUCCAUAAGACCUGAAAGAAAAUGAAGUUAAAGGAUUACAGUAUGACCUUG
rnacentral:lncRNA from 7 species